GCGACCGGCCGGGCCUUGCACCGACUGCCCCUCGAGUGCCUUCCCGGCCUCCGACCGGAGGUGGCCUUUCUUUAGGAAGUCGGAGAACCUGCCGCGCCCCUGACCCUCCCGGGGCCUCCGAGGAACGCGAGGCUCCGGCGGGAAAAGCGGCGCUGGGGAAGCGGCCUGAACUGGACUCCGUGGGUCUCUGGGGGGGGUCCCUCCAAGCGACUGACGCCCCACUGUGGGCUGUCUGUCCAUGUCCCCUCCGCAUCGCGAGCUGCAAAUCAGCGGGCACCAGCCAGGCGACUUCGCAAGAUAAAUCAAGGUAACCGCAAAGGGACGAUCUGGGACCCACGUCGGCGACCCGCCGCUUCCCAGGCCGGGUGAGUACCCCAGAGUCAGCUCUGGGGCGGACACUGGCCACGCGCAGGGGUUGAAGCCGGGCUUACUGUGGCCACGGGUAAGCUGCUGGACGGGGUCUGGUUCCGAAAGCUCACACUCGGUCACGACUCGCUCACACCACUACCUUGUUAUCUAGGAGGAAAACACCUACGGAUUCCAUGGUCAAGCUUACCUAACUGCUUGCCCUUGCAUCUAACCCUAGGAGAAGACCCACAGAUCCGCUCCAGGGCUCAGCAGCUCCUUCCCCCCACUCGGGGAGAAGAGCCUUUAUCCUUUUUUUUUUUUUUAAUUUUGUUUUAUUUAUUUAUUUAUUGGUACCAGGAAUUGAACCCAGAGAUGCUUAACUGCUGAGCUAUAUUCCCAGCCCCAGAAAUUCCCUUUUCUGUGUUUGAUUUUUUUCCCCACCGCUUGAGAUUUAUGUCCCUUCCAGCUGAUGCCCUGUCGCCACUGUCCUCUCGUUCAUCCAACCUGUCAGUCACACUACAUUUCAUUCUCUUGUAGGCAGUGAUCUUUCUUCCUUCUGUGUCUUUGCACAUUCUGUUCCUUGACCUAGAAUGCACUUCUUCUGUUGAAGUAGUCUUUCAAAAUCAGCUUCAAAUAUUGCAGGAGAGAGAGGUCCCUCACUCCAGGAGGGGGAUGGGUGAGGCAGCGGGUUCAAUUCUUGGUUCCUGGUUCUGUGCUUGCCCCUUAUUCAGCAUUUAUCCCUUGUUCCUCUGAAAAUCCUUCAGUCAUUUAACAUCACUUUACUAGGCACCUAAUGUGUGCCAGUGUGUGAAGCACAAAUAAGAGCCCCUUCCUGCAGCUGUCAGUCAGUGGCAGGGGUGGGUGGCAGCCAGAGGAUGGAUGCCUCAACAAUCAUCCCAGUGUUAGGCAUUACUUGUUAAUAUAGUCUUCUGAGGGCAGAGAACAUGUUUUAUACACCCCUAUAUUGCUGGUUAGUUGAAAUGAAUGAGAGAGCACUCGGCAGGUAAAAUAAUGGGCAGGAACAUUGGGUAACUUCACAGGAUGAAAUUAAAAAUAUCAAUAACUAUAUGAAAAGAUCCUGAAUCUCAUUACAUCAGGGAAAUGCUGGGUAAAGCUGCAGUGAGCUACUUCCUAUCCACUCAACAGGCACCAUUAACCACUGGAUCAGAACAGGUAGGAGCAAGGACAAAGAGCAGCUUGUCAACUGCAGGAAGCCAGUUUGCUUUUACCCAGGAAAGAUGUGAACAUACAUACACACUCCACAAUUCAGCCACUCCACUCCUACAGGAGGACACACAUACAAGAAGUCCGUAGAUGCACUAUUUGUAAUAGCCCCCAAACUUCUGGAAACAACUCAAAUGUUCAUCAAAGUAAAAUGGAUAAAUAAAUGGUGGUAUAUGCCUAUGAUGGAAUAUUGUAUAGCAACACAAGAGAAAUACUACAACUGCAAACAACAAGGUGGGUAAUUAUCUAAAUGAAAUUGAGAGGAGCCAUAUACACAUUAUAUAUGAUUUCAUUUAUGUAAAAUCCCCAAUCAGGCAAAACUAAACUAUGAUACGCCCUGCAUAAAGACAGGAUGGUUUACCUUUAAGGAGGAAAUAGGGGGUUUUGACUGGGAAGGAAUAUUCUGGGUGCUGGGGAUGUUCUAGUUCUUGAACGGGUAGUAGCUAGAUAAGUUUGCUUUCCAAUAAUUCAUUAAGUUAAACAUUUAUAUUUUAUUCACAUUUGGUGUGUACAUGAGUGUAUUUCACAAUUUUAAAAAGGUUAAGAAAGAACAAAUCUUCCUGCAGCGACUCCAGCCCAUUUCCCCAUGUUCUUUUCUCCACUGAAGCAACAUGAGUCAGGUCUUACCUCACUUCCUUGUCUUCUGGAUAAAUAAUCUCAAAGUCUUUAACCUUCUUCAGGAAUGAUCCAGAAGCGCUUCGGCUGCUUCCCAUCCCUUUUAGUCUAACAUAGUAUAGAGCGCUGAAGCUGAAAGGAGAAAUGUCUUUUCUAAAGACGGUCAGUUUGUGCCUGGAAAGAACUGCUGCUGUCAUUUAAUCUUAGCAGCUCAGGUAACUGCCAAGAGUCUUGUUCAUCUCCUCCUCCUCCUCAGUAAUUGUUUUAAUUCCCCCGGGGCUGGGAGGUGGUGACUGAAAUCUUUGUGCUGUUCUAUUGUAGAGAGAUGGAGCUGGAGGAGUUGGGUGAAGCUCUUUUAAAAAUUAACCAAAAGUAGGCUGGGGCUCAGCGGUAGAGCACUCCCCUAGCACGGGCGGGGCCCUGGGUUCCAUCCUCAGCAUCACAUAGAAAUAAGUAAAUAAAAUAAAGGUAUUGUGUCCAACUACAACUAUAUAUAAAAAUAAUGCCAGGCGAGCACGCUACCGCUUGAGCCACAUCCCCAGCCCCUUGGGGUUUUUUUAAAUAUAUAUAUAUAUAUAUAUAUAUAUAUAUAUAUAUAUUUUUUUUUAUAUAUAUAUUUAUUUAUAUAUAUAUUAUAUAUAUAUAUAUAUAUAGCGCGCUCGCCUGGCAUGCGUGCAGCCCGGGUUCGAUCCUCAGCACCACAUACCAACAAAGAUGUUGUAUCCGCCGAAAAUUAAAAAAUAAAUAUUAAAAAAAUAAUAAUAAAGUUUAAAAAAUAAAAAAAUUUAAAAACCCAAAGUAAUAUCUGAUUAUUGCAUAAAUUUUCAGAGAAUACAGACAAGUAAACAUAAUUAAAAUCAUCUUUAAUCUUCCAUUUCUAACUCAUUGGUGUCCACCCUUCCAGGGUUUUCCCUGUGCAUGAAGAUACCAGGGACAAGAGGUGACUGGUCGUCUCCCAAGGUGUCGAACCUCCCCAGGGGCUGUGAAGUGACCCCAAACGCAAUGCCUCUAGUACCUACCACUUAGGACUACUUAUCAAUGAUUGCCUGAAUGAUUAAGAGUUAUAUCUCUAUAAACAACAUGUCUCCGCAUGCCCCUCACUCAGCAGCCCUGCAGGUGCAAUUCCAUGUGGGCCUCCAGGAGGCUGGACCUCCCCCAUCAGGGGGAGGGUACUUCAUCGUCAUUGCUUGCUGUUUCAAUGAUAGAUAAUGGUCUGGUUUUGUAAUCUUCAAUCUGGUUUGUUGUGGACUUUUCUGUUUAACCUCACUGCCUGCAGGGACGCAUAUCUACAACAACAGCUUUGAGCCUGUCAUCUCCUAUAACCAGGCUCUGGUACACACAUGGCUGCAUCCAGCUGGAUCAUUCAUCUCCAAGGAGUGAAAAGUCUGCAGAUUCCCACAAUAGGUACGUACAGUCUUGCCGGUUGUGCUCCCUAGACAACUUGUAACAUAUUAUCAGAGAAAGUAAUAGAGUGCUGAGUUAUUUUUAAGUCCUAGGGCAUUACUUUUAAAGAGGAUAUGUACAUAAAUAGUUUUCUAAGAGGUAGAAGAAAAACAGGUUCAUAGAGUUGGUCGGCACAAAUUACUGGCUGCUGCAGCUGCUUGUUUUUUUGUACAGGGAUUGGACCCAGGGACACACUACCACCGAGCUACACCCCAUCCCCUUUUUAUUUUUUAUUUUGAGACCAAUUCUCUUGAUAAAUGUUCCAGGCUGGCCUUGAUCUUGUGAUCCUCCUGCCUCACUCAGCCCUCCUAAGGCAGGACUGGGAUCCCAAGUGGGGGCUCUCACACCAGCUGUUUCCCUUCACUGUUUACCACUCUACCCUGGCAACAUUAAUUUUCAGAAUUCACGGGGUCUCCCAUGUUAUCCACUUGCUUUGAUAACCUAUAGGGGUUUCAGGGGACAGAAUAGUGAGCUGCCCAACUGGCUAGAGGUGUUCCACAGCUAUAUUUAUAUUAUAUACUAUUGAUGUUGGUGACCAGAACUGGCUUUUGAAGCUCCAAGAAAUUAAGAAAAAGUUAGCCCCCAAAGAAACAGAGGUCUCCAAAAGCGGUUAAGUGCUCAGGCCCCAAGUUAACCAAUAAAUGAAAGAAAAGGAGUGGCAUUUACCUAGUAUCUGCAUGGGCUGGGCAUUGCGGUUAGUAGAUACUGUUAUAAAUAAAACUGCAGAAUCAGUAAUAAUGUCAAAACAAGACUAAACCCCAUGGCUACCAGGCCUCUGUAGAAUGUUCUACAUGUCUGUAUAACCACUUAAUGUACAUUUAGACUCAUAACUACCCACAAGGUGACCUCUAUGCAGCCUGUGAUUUUAUGCAUUAAAUCCGGACCUUUAAGCUGCCUGUCCUCUGCUAGCUCAGUCUUUGAGUGCAGCCUGCCUGAGACUGGCUUAGCUCCUGGCCUGCUCUGAGAUCCCACCAAGUUGGGACCCAAAGAGUAGACUGAGGUCUACUCUCACUUUUUCUUCCUCCUCUUCCCAGCCUAUGAGUGGAGGGGCUUAGUCCCAGUUGCAAGGACAAUGUCUCAAUCACCACAGCUCAUAGAAAGCAACUUGUGCAGGCUUGAAGGCAGCCUGGCCAGAGUGCUGCAGUUUUUUUCAGGAGAAGCAGGUUGAGGUUGAUUUCCUAAGAGCCAAUCUGCAGAAAGCCAGUUUUCAAAUGGCCAAUUCAUAGUUGGUAGAGUUGUAAACUGAAGGACCAAUUUACAAAACAACCAAUUACUUUUUUUCCUCCUUGGUCUUAACUGACCAGUAUUUAUCCUGUCUUUACAAUAGAAUUUGGAAGAAAGGUACCUUGCUUUCUCUCUUCUGCCCUGGAGCUACAACUGAGGAGAAACCGGAAGAGCUAGGGGCUGAGAUCCAGCAGCUUUUGUAGAACUUUCCUCAGAGUGACUUUCUGGGAAUUGACAGAGGGCCUAUUCUAAGUUUCUACCAUCUUCUUUCCAAAGGGAAUUAGUAAAGCUUUGCCAUUUAGUUUUUUUCUUUAUUUUUCUUUUGGUAUUUGGGUUUAAACCCAGGAGCUAUACCACUGAGUUACAUCCUAAACCCUUUAUAAUGUUAAGUCAGAGACUUGCUAAAUUGCCCAGGUUGGCCUUGAACUUGAGAGCCUCCUACCUCAGCCUCCCAAGCUGCUGGGGUUACAGGCAUGUGCUGCUGCAUCCAGCUAGACUUUGCCGUUUCUAAUUUGUCUUUGACAAGUCAGUAUUGGCAAGUUCACAAAAAUUUCCAUCUGUACACACAGAGGAGAAAGCCCUGAGGGGUCAGAUUGGAGAUGCUGGCCUAAAAGAUUGUAGGGAUGUGGUCUCAAGUCAAGCCAUGCCAGUGGCCACCAGGAGCUGGAGGCUCAAGAAGCAGUUUCAACCCCAGAACCUCUGGAGGGAGAGCAGCCCUGUCCAUACCUCAGUUUCAGUCCAGUGACACUACUUUCAGACUUCUGCCCUCCAGAGAGAGUAAACUUUUGCUGUGUUAAGCUACCAGUUGGGGUAAUUUGUUACAGCAACUUUAGGAAACCAACACAGAUUUUUGCCAGUCGGACAAACCACAGAGCUAAGUUGGGGACAGCCUUAGGCCUCGCUGGGCCACCAGCCAGGGUUCUGCAUUUGGGGAUAUCAGAUGGAAAGGCAGAAACAGACUAGCUCUCACAGACAGCAGAGUACAAGCCACAGUGCCUGCUUUUAAUUAACCCCAAACAAUAUAUCCUUCUCAUUACUGUCCAACAAAAUUACAGUUUUCUGAUUUUAUUUUUUUCCAGGAAGGUGCCAUUCAUUCAUUAAUUAACUUAUUUAUUGUGGUACUGGGGACUGAACCCAGGCCCUCAUGCAUACUAGGCCAGUACAUCCCCACCCCAACUUAUAUUUUGGAAUGAAUGCCCCGUGCGGUAGUUCCAGAUACUUGGGAGGCUGAGGCUGGAGGAUCACUUGGGCCCAGGAGUUCCAGACCAGCCUGGGCAACCUAGCAAGACUCUGGGUCAAAAAGGAAAAAGAAAAUUUUUUUUAUAAAGAUGAAAAUAAAUCCCAUAUGAAAUAAAAAAAAAAUUCCAAGGAAAUAAUAUAAAAUGUAGGCAAAUUUCUGAUAUGAUUGUGUGGGUUUUGUUUCGUUUGUUUUUUUUGUACUAGGAAUCGAACCCAGGGGCACUCUACCACUGAGCCACACCCCCAGCCCUUUUCUGUAUUAUAGACACAGGGUGUCACUGAGUUGCUUAGGGACUCGCUAAGUUGCUAAGGCUGGCUUUGAACUCUCGGUCCUCCUGCCUCAGCCUCUCCAGCCGCUGGGAUUACAGAUGUGCACCAUGGCUCCUGGCUGUGACUGUGUUUUAUGCAAUUGUAACCCCCUCCCUCAUGCACUCUGUCCAGUCUUCCCCACACAGCCAGAGUGAUUUGUGAAAAACGCAAUCUGAUCAUGUCAUGAAAUUUAAGAAAAUUAUAAACUAUCAUUUAAUGGGAGGAGAGACAGGCAGUCGGAAUCCAGGAAGGGGCCAAGGAGGCUUUAGCCAUGCAGACAGGGCUCUGGUUGAGAAAGCAUAUUGGAUCCAUGGGUGCUACAGCUUAGAUCUGGGGUGUCCCCCAAAGUCUCAUAUUGAAAGCAUGAUUGCCAGUGCAGCAGGGUUCAGAGAGGAGGCUUCUAGGCAAGGACUGUAUCAUGAGGGCUGUGCCCUCAUCAGUGACUAAUCCACCAAAUGGUAUCAUCAAAUGGAUAGCAUAUCUGUAAGCCCAGGGACUAGGGAGGCUAAGGCAGGAAGACUGCAAAUUUGAGGCCAACCUAAGCAACUCAGCAUUGCCCUAAGCAACCUAGCAAGACCCUGUCUCCAAAUAAAAAAUAAAACAGGCUGCACUGAACCUCUGGGUUCAAUCCUCGGUACCAAAAAAUAAAUAAAUUGACAGCUGAAUGGACUAUUGGGCGGUAGGACCUACUUGGAAAAAGUGGGUCACUGCAGGCAUAUCCUGGAGGGGUUGGUCUCUACCCGGGUCCCUUCCCCUCUCUGUUCUCAGGCUGCCAUGGACGGGGCCACUCUCCUCCACCAAGCCCUUCUGCGAAGAAGCUUCUGCAUUGGAGGCAGCCAGCGCAGACUGAAAGCUGUUAAACCGUGAGCCAAAAUAAACCUUCCCCCUCCAGGUUGUUCAUGUCAGGUAUUUUGGUCACAGUGAGGAGAAGCCAACUAACACACUGAGUAUUUGGUUCAUUGUCAUAUUUCAGUGACUUACUCGGUGUUGCAUACGUGUGCUUUAUACAUUUCAAAUAUCUACACCAUCACCACCAACAGCAAAACAACGUGACGGCUUCCUAACGUUCCUAAGGUAAGGCAGACAGGCAGAAACCUUGACGUGACUGGUGGGGCCUCGUCUGCCUGGACCUGCGGUCCUCGCCUCUCGCCCUCAGUCCCUGCUUCUCAGCCUCCCCAGCCUCCUCUUCCCUUCCUGCAGGCUGCCAGGCUCCCUGCUGGCCGGCUCUUGCCUGUUCCUCCUGCUGUCACCUUCAGAAGGUCGGGGAGCACCGACCCUGCCCCCGAACCUC
rnacentral:lncRNA from 1 species